rnacentral:rRNA from 1 species
UACGUAGGGUGCGAGCGUUGUCCGGAAUUAUUGGGCGUAAAGAGCUUGUAGGCGGUUUGUCGCGUCUGCUGUGAAAAUCCGGGGCUCAACCCCGGACUUGCAGUGGGUACGGGCAGACUAGAGUGUGGUAGGGGAGACUGGAAUUCCUGGUGUAGCGGUGAAAUGCGCAGAUAUCGAGAGGAACACCUGCGGCGAAGGCGGGUUGCUGGGCUGACACUGACGCUGAUGCGCGAAAGCUAGGGGAGCGAACGGG